rnacentral:rRNA from 1 species
AUACCGCGUGUGUGAAGAAGGCCUUCGGGUUGUAAAGCACUUUAAGCAGGGAGAAAAAGUUAUAAGUUAAUACCUUAUAACCCUGAUGUUACCUGCAGAAUAAGCACCGGCUAAUUCCGUGCCAGCAGCCGCGGUAAUACGGAAGGUGCAAGCGUUAAUCGGAAUUACUGGGCGUAAAGCGCGCGUAGGUGGUUUGUUAAGUUGGAUGUGAAAGCCCUGGGCUCAACCUAGGAACUGCAUCCRAAACUAACUCACUAGAGUACGAUAGAGGGAGGUAGAAUUCAUAGUGUAGCGGUGGAAUGCGUAGAUAUUAUGAAGAAUACCAGUGGCGAAGGCGGCCUCCUGGAUCUGUACUGACACUGAGGUGCGAAAGCGUGGGUAGCGAACAGGAUUAGAUACCCUGGUAGUCCACGCCGUAAACGAUGACAACUAGCUGUUGGGAGACUAUGUCUUUCAGUGGCGCAGCUAACGCUUUAAGUUGUCCGCCUGGGGAGUACGGCCGCAAGGCUAAAACUCAAAUGAAUUGACGGGGACCCGCACAAGCGGUGGAGCAUGUGGUUUAAUUCGAUGCAACGCGAAAAACCUUACCUACUCUUGACAUACUUGGAGGCUCUUGUAAUGAGAGUGUGCCUUUUGGAACCAAGAUACAGGUGCUGCAUGGCUGUCGUCAGCUCGUGUCGUGAGAUGUUCCGUUAAGUCGGAUAACGAGCGCAACCCUUACCCUUAUUUGCCAGCGAUUCGGUCGGGAACUAUAAGGGGACUGCCGGUGAUAAACCGGAGGAAGGUGAGGACGACGUCAAGUCAUCAUGGCCCUUACGAGUAGGGCUACACACGUGCUACAAUGGGAGAUACAGACGGACGCUAAGCCGCGAGGUGGUGCUAAUCCUAAAAAGUCUUUCGUAGUCCGGAUUGGAGUCUGCAACUCGACUCCAUGAAGUCGGAAUCGCUAGUAAUCGCGGAUC